GUGUCAGCCGCCGCGGUAAGACAGAGGUGGCAAGCGUUGUUCGGAAUUACUGGGCUUAAAGGGCGCGUAGGCGGUGGAGUAAGUCUGAGGUGGAAGAUUAGGGCUUAACCCUAAAAUUGCCUUGGAAACUGCAUCACUUGAGUCAGCGAGGGGAUGGCGGAAUUCCAGGUGUAGCGGUGAAAUGCGUAGAUAUCUGGAGGAAGGCCGGUGGCGAAGGCGGCCAUCUGGCGCUGAACUGACGCUGAGGCGCGAAAGCGUGGGGAGCAAACAGGAUUAGAAACCCCGGUAGUCC
rnacentral:rRNA from 1 species